GCUGCCCACGCCAUUGGCACUAAUGCAGGCCCAUACCAUCAGAGAUGCAGCUUUUCACCUGUUCACUGAUGAAAAGCCGGAUGCUCCCUCUUCUCUUUAGUCUGCCAGACACGCCGUCCAUGCUUUCCAGAAACUAGUUCACAUUUUCAUCCAGCAGGCCACAGAACGUUCUCCA